UAAAUUUCAUCUUGUAUCUUUUCCUUUCUUUGGAUUGUUAGAAGUUUUUAAAGAAGGGUGGAAAUAGAUUAUGAUAUGUGGUCAGGACAAGUUGCAGGUCUCAACAGUGCUUCUUGUGAUUCUUAUAUAUUGCCUAAUGAUAAAGGUUUCUAGGUGUUCAAGCCUUACCAUCUGAGUUGGCGCAAGUACGUACUGAGCCUUUAAUUCAUCCAAGAAUGGUCACUAACAUGAGAUAAGCAAAAACAACCAUCCCAGCUUGAUAUGAGACAUCUUCUAGUAUUAUUCACUGGAUUCAAUUCAUGCAGGGUGUGCCUAAGGAUAAGAUCUUCAACAUCACUGGUAUGAAAUGACAGUAUACUAAAUGCCUCUCCACCUCCAAGCUAAGUUGGUUGUUAGAUGCUUAAAAACUUUGUCAGGAAAGAACCCCAAAAGUCAAAUUUGUCAGGGCUCAUCCUGUCAUUUCUCAAGCUCAAAGGAAAGGGGGAACCUCUUAACUGGUUAACUCUCUACCAUCAAAACAGAACCAAAAUACCAGAUGGACAGAGAAAGCACACAACUGUUUUUUUCUUCACAUUUGAAUUCUUAAAUCAUGUCUUUUUCACAUUUUCCUAUCAUACAACUUUUUUUUUUUUUUUUCCACAGCUCUGCAGGACUUGUAUGUUAAAAAUUUGGAUAAAGCAAAACAUAUAUUUUGACCUUUGAUUACUUUUAGAUUUAGCAUCAAAAGAAGUAUGAGAAGAAAAACCUUCAAUGCCAAGAAGCAGAUUGCUUUUUAAUAUGUAAAAUCAGCGACUAAGUGCUAUGACCUUUCUUAUGCUGGAAUAUUGACAUACGUAUAACGGAUGCAGUGAUGCACACUGUUAAGGGAUCAAGAAACAAACUAGGAGUGCUACUAUCUUGCUGUAAAGCUAAAUAUCUGAUCUUAUGCUCCACAGAAGCUUGUAUGGUUAACCAAAAAGAUCAUCUAUUACCAGCGUCAAAAAUCCGCUUGAAUUGGAAGUUUGCAUAUUUCCAUCAUGAAGGAAGAGAAGAGAAACAGCUCGCUGAACGAACAAGUGAUGAUUGAUUGACUUCCCGAACGGGGCAGCUUGAAGAGGAUCUCAAACUUCUGGGAGCAUCCAAACUUUUCCUUAGAAGCUUUCCCAUGGCGAACAUGGGAUGCUCAGAACUCGAAGGAGGACUGGUAGACUGGAAGUUUCUGCAGAAGCUGAUGUGCCUAUUCAAAGCUUCUUCGGUACUGAUCAGUCUUUCUGAUUUCAAGACUUCAACUUUCACUGCUUCAAUGCAAAGACCACAAAGCCACAUUCCACAAUACCUUUGGCGGAUUCGAGAUAUGUAGGCUACAGUACACUCCUCUGUGAAUCCACAGGACUCACAGUUGAUGAACUCAACCUCUUCUUCAGCACUCGAAGAUAUUUCCAUUAAUCUGAAUCUCCCAAGAGACAAGAAAACACGCGUACCCUUUUAACUCUCAGAAGGCCCUGAAGUCAAUGAAACGUGAAACAAUCCUUGGACGUGCUGCUACUUAUAAGAUUGGAACUUUCCAGUGGCUUUUAUGUUACUUGGGACCAAAUGAUUUAGCCACAGGUUUGAGUAUACAUUGUGCAGGUAAUUGUCUGCCUUACCGCGUAUGAAUACGUACACACUCGAACCGUGAGGUAAAGAUUAAAAAAAGAAAUGCAAACGUGAUGGUUUUAUCAUUUAUAUGGCUAAUGAAACUCGACAAGGCAACACGUUAUCAUCACUCAUCAGCAAUCAUGUCAUGUCAUGUGUUAACAUGACAUUUUGUUUUCAUUCUUGGUUGUCCAUUGCCCACGCUUUUAUCCAAGUCAAUCUCCAGUUGUACAUCAUUAAAUUUUUCUGCUUCCCCUCUGUUACGUUUUCACCGUACCAAAUCAUAUAGUUUAAUAAACUAAUGGUACAUUUAUG
rnacentral:lncRNA from 1 species